rnacentral:rRNA from 1 species
CAGCCGCCGCGGGAAUACAGAGGGUGCAAGCGUUAAUCGGAAUUACUGGGCGUAAAGCGUGCGUAGGUGGUGGUUUAAGUCCGUUGUGAAAGCCCUGGGCUCAACCUGGGAAUUGCAGUGGAUACUGGGUCACUAGAGUGUGGUAGAGGAUAGUGGAAUUUCCGGUGUAGCAGUGAAAUGCGUAGAGAUCGGAAGGAACAUCUGUGGCGAAGGCGACUAUCUGGGCCAACACUGACACUGAGGCACGAAAGCGUGGGGAGCAAACAGGAUUAGAUACCCCCGUAGUCCCUGUCUCUUAUAA